GGUUAUUAUUAUUAAAAAAAUCAUUGUCAUUCACCGUAUUAAGAGCCAGUGCCCUUUUCACAAAUAUGAUUGACAGAAGUGAGGGGCCAGAGGCACGGGGAGGGGAAAAGGGGGAUCGGAGAGUGACAGCCAACGAUUCUGUCUCCCUCUCUCCCUCUCUUUCAUAGACUCUCACCUCGCGCUGCUGUGUAUACAGACAUUAUAAAUGCAAUAAAACUGUCAUUCAGAGACCACGGCCAUCACUUCGACUCGAUUCCCACAGGAAGCGAUUAAGGCCACGUACAAGCAACCAAACAGCCAUCACGUCGCUGAUGAAAAGGAAGUUAGCUGACAGGCAGAGCACCUACAAAGACUCAACACCUCGCUCUUCACGGUAAACAAAGCGCCGCCGUAGGAUCGCUCUUCUUCUUUUUCCACGCCAACUCAGUCUCGAUCAAUGGCUCUGUAAUAAAAGCAAUUAAAAAAGAGGGGGGAAAAAUGGGAAGGCUCAGAGCUGCCACCUCCGUUGGCUGAGCCCUCAGCAAAGUUUAUCGUUGAGGAUUAUUGGGAAGGACACAUCACAGAGCCGUCCCACGCACCCGGAGCCAACGGGCGGUGUCUCCAGACGCCAGAGACUACCUUGUAUUCCCUUUCAUGCGGCUGCUGUUAGGUUACGUGCUGAUGAAAGGCAUCAGUGUAAUCCUACACUUCAUCUCUACUUUACCGCUGGAUGCCACAGUCGCUGUGAGGCGGAAUGAUGAGCCCCUACGAGCGAGAGGCUUUUGAGCACGUCAAAUAUAUGCCAGAGAUCAUGAAAGUCCACCGACUGCCUUAAACAGCAUCUUAACUCACUUCAUCUUUGUGAUUUUUCUCACCACGCAUCUUACAUGAAUGCAGUCGUACGUUCUGGCGUAUUCCACUUUAGUGGAGUGGUCGCAUUUGGUGAUGGUUACUGGAUUUUACAAUGGUGGGCCUACAAAGAUGAAUGGAGAACAUAUUAGAUCCGUCAUUUGUUAUAUAAACAUUGCUUUGGAAUGUGCAGGAAACUAUGAAUUACCAAGCAUGCUAAUGCUAUCCAUACCUUGGUGUUUCUUCAACUACAGGCAACUUGUGUCAUAGGAAUUGUUUUUUAUUAAUGCUAAGUGAUUCCAGCUUUCUCUUUGUCAUGUUAAGGUCACAUUAAAACCAUG
ensembl:lncRNA